CCUACGGGAGGCAGCAGUGGGGAAUAUUGCACAAUGGGGGAAACUCUGAUGCAGCAACGCCGCGUGAGUGAAGAAGGAUUUCGGUAUGUAAAGCUCUAUCAGCAGGGAAGAAAAUGAUAGUACCUGACUAAGAAGCUCCGGCUAACUACGUGCCAGCAGCCGCGGUAAUACGUAGGGGGCAAGCGUUAUCCGGAUUUACUGGGUGUAAAGGGAGCGUAGACGGCUGCGUAAGUCAGAAGUGAAAGCCCGCGGCUCAACCGCGAGACUGCUUUUGAAACUGUGUAGCUAGAGUACAGUAGAGGUGAGUGGAAUUCCUAGUGUAGCGGUGAAAUGCGUAGAUAUUAGGAAGAACUCCGAUGGCGAAGGCAGCUUACUGGACUGUAACUGACAUUGAGGCUCGAAAGCGUGGGUAGCAAACAGGAUUAGAUACCCUUGUAGUC
rnacentral:rRNA from 1 species